rnacentral:rRNA from 1 species
GACGAACGCUGGCGGCGUGCUUAACACAUGCAAGUCGAACGCUGAAGCUCAGCUUUUGUUGGGUGGAUGAGUGGCGAACGGGUGAGUAACACGUGAGUAACCUGCCCCCUUCUUUGGGAUAACGCCCGGAAACGGGUGCUAAUACUGGAUAUUCACUGGUCUUCGCAUGGGGGUUGGUGGAAAGGGUUUUUCUGGUGGGGGAUGGGCUCGCGGCCUAUCAGCUUGUUGGUGGGGCGAUGGCCUACCAAGGCUUUGACGGGUAGCCGGCCUGAGAGGGUGACCGGUCACAUUGGGACUGAGAUACGGCCCAGACUCCUACGGGAGGCAGCAGUGGGGAAUAAUGCACAAUGGGCGCAAGCCUGAUGCAGCGACGCCGCGUGAGGGAUGGAGGCCUUCGGGUUGUGAACCUCUUUCGCUCAUGGUCAAGCCGCAACAAUGGUUGUGGUGAGGGUAGUGGGUAAAGAAGCGCCGGCUAACUACGUG